rnacentral:rRNA from 1 species
AGAGUUUGAUCCUGGCUCAGAACGAACGCUGGCGGCGUGCCUAACACAUGCAAGUCGAACGGAGAUAAGGGGCUUGCUCCUUAUUUUAGUGGCGCACGGGUGAGUAACGCGUGGAUAAUCUACCUUGGAAUCUGGGAUAACAUUUCGAAAGGGGUGCUAAUACCGGAUAAGACCACGAUCUCUUUGGAGAUUGCGGUAAAAGGGGGCCUCUGUAUAUGCUUCUGUUUCAAGAUGAGUCCGCGUACCAUUAGCUAGUUGGCAGGGUAAUGGCCUACCAAGGCGACGAUGGUUAGCUGGUCUGAGAGGAUGAUCAGCCACACUGGAACUGAGACACGGUCCAGACUCCUACGGGAAGCAGCAGUGGGGAAUUUUGCGCAAUGGGGGAAACCCUGACGCAGCAACGCCGCGUGAGUGAUGAAGGCCUUCGGGUCGUAAAGCCUUCAAGGGAA